GGUGACGUGGCCGAGGGGUUAGGCAGAGGCCUGCAAAGCCUCGUACGGCGGUUCGAAUCCGCCCGUCACCUCCA
rnacentral:tRNA from 1 species